AAGACCAGCCGCAACCCCCAUCGCUGCCCGCCUCCAAACUCGCCGGAACUCGCCCAAACCCGGCGAGUUCACCCACUAGUCACCCCAUGGUCCCCCUCCUCUCUUCUCCUUCUUCCACGUAGCAAUGAUAACAAACUCAGGAUAUUCGCUAAUGAUUUCACCCAAAUCGAAUCUGCCUUCUCCCUCACGCGCUUUAGUUUGUUUGAACAAAUAUCGGAUAAAUGGGAGCAGUUGGAUUUGCCGAUUCGAGGUUCGACGGGGUCGAGUUCGUGGUUCUCGUUCUUGCCUUUUGGUUGCUGUUUCCCGUUCGAUUUUGUGACUCAAAGUAUUGUAGCUGACUCUCUUAAUCCUUCGCGGCUAAGAAGAAACUUGAAAUUUUCAGGUUCAUCUCUUUGGUCAUUCUAUCUGCACUGUUUUAUGGUGAAUCAAGAAUUGUAAAGGCCAUUUAGGGAUAUUAACUUUGCAUUUGUAUUGUCGAUCCUUAUUAAAACCUAUCCUAAUUUAUGGUUCUAGUAUUUGCUUUCCUUAGUGAUUCUAUUCCCAAACAUGAAA